rnacentral:rRNA from 1 species
UACAGAGGCCUCGAGCGUUAGGCGGAAUCACUGGGCUUAAAGCGUGUGUAGGUGGAGUUCUAAGUACCUUGUGAAAUCCCACGGCUCAACCGUGGAACUGCUGGGUAUACUGGUUCUCUUGAGGUACCUAGGGGCGAGCGGAACAAGUGGUGGAGCGGUGAAAUGCGUAGAUAUCACUUGGAACGCCAACGGUGAAAACAGCUCGCUGGGGGUAUCCUGACACUGAGGGACGAAAGCUAGGGGAGCGAAUGGG